GCAGAAGCAGCAGCAGUUGUGCGGUGUAACUCAACUACAAGCAAUGACGGUGCAAACAGAAAGAAGCCCAAAGCAAACCACCACACCGAGAUUUCAGGGGGCGUGGCCUAAUCGUCAACACGGCACCAACAUCGAAGCAACCCAACACGAAGAGAGGUUGAAAGCAUAACAGGGGUACACUCUUCGAUGCUGGUGGCGCAGCAGCAUGCCAUGGAAUGUUGGAUGUCGGUCGAUGUUUCGCAGUUUGUCGGUGGCCUUUUCGGAAGACAUGGCAUGCUGAGAGUUGAAUAAGUUGGAAGUGAUUCUGUCAAAGCAUCACGAUCCCUUCCAGAGCGGAAACCAUCCACCCGGAACAUGGUCGCGUGCCGUCAGAAAGCAUUUCUCAUGUUUUGCCAACACGCAGCCGCCUUCCGGCGCACGUUCGCCAUUAUAUCCGUGGAUAAUUUCUCCAUAAAGUUGGCCACAAACUAACUGACUGACGUCGGAUGCACGAAAGAUUAAUGGUCAAUUCAUGAAGAUGGAAUUAACUUCCCUGGAUGUUUAUUGCAUGAGAGAUUAGUUUAAAAAAGGAGAAGAUAAAACACUUUGAACAAUUUGCUGUGAAAAAGGUCCAGAACUUUUCAAGGCUACCUUGAUGCAAUGCAGACAACAGAAGAAUUGUUCAAUAAAACAUCCAAAUAUAACAUAAUUAGCUCAUAAUUGAUACCAGCCAGAUGGCCUACUCCACACUCGAUCAAUUUAUUUAUCAACAAAGAUAAUCCAAUUUAUUCUAAUGCCUCUCCUAAUGCACCACCAUUCGUCGACACGUCUUAAGUGCUCUUUUCGCCCCUCGACUGAAGUAGAAAAAUUGUCACACAAAAAGCCAGAAAAAACACUCUCGCAGCUUCCUCCCCCUUGGUGAAUUAUUCUGAUUUCAUUUUGAUACACUUGUUCCCGGGCCGUAUUAUCAUCAUCAUAACAAUAUGGGCCAGGGAGAAGAACAGUAUCGUUUUACCCUAACCCUAGCAGGGAACAAGCAAGUACAAGCAAAAAUAGGGGAGACAUUCUGAAGUCACUUCAAGUCAACCGACAACCCCUUGAAAUAGAUGUUAUCAAUCUUGUUUUCCCCUGGGGUGGAGGAAAAAAAGGAACGCAUCACAGCUAAAAGGCCAACUAUCUGCACCCUGAGGAAAGAGGUUCUGGUGUCAGGAGAGCGCAACUGGCAGGAUUAUGUCUGGCUUGUGCCGUGAAUUAAGCAAUUAUGAAGCGUGAUUGUGGGUGGUUUUUUAGCUCUGAUGAAUUAUGGGUAGAUUGGCCCCGGCUUUGAUAACUUUUGCGGUGUGGUGAUGAUCUGCUGCGGCGACUAAAUGGGAUUAUGGUGGGUUAUGGGGUUAGUUGAUUUAAGGUUUGAUGAAAUUUA